rnacentral:rRNA from 1 species
UCAGGCCUAACACAUGCAAGUCGAACGAACCUUCGGGUUAGUGGCGGACGGGUGAGUAACGCGUGAGAAUCUGCCCUCAGGAGGGGGAUAACGGUUGGAAACGACCGCUAAUACCCCAUAUGCCUACUGGUGAAAUGAAUUUCGCCUGAGGAUGAGCUCGCGUCUGAUUAGCUAGUUGGUGAGGUAAUGGCUCACCAAGGCUUCGAUCAGUAGCUGGUCUGAGAGGAUGAUCAGCCACACUGGGACUGAGACACGGCCCAGACUCCUACGGGAGGCAGCAGUGGGGAAUUUUCCGCAAUGGGCGAAAGCCUGACGGAGCAACGCCGCGUGAGGGACGAAGGCCUGCGGGCUGUAA